GACGAACGCUGGCGGCGUGCUUAACACAUGCAAGUCGAACGGAAAGGCCCUGCUUGCAGGGUACUCGAGUGGCGAACGGGUGAGUAACACGUGGGUGAUCUGCCCUGCACUUCGGGAUAAGCCUGGGAAACUGGGUCUAAUACCGGAUAGGAGCCAUUUUUAGUGUGAUGGUUGGAAAGUUUUUUUCGGUGUAGGAUGAGCUCGCGGCCUAUCAGCUUGUUGGUGGGGUAAUGGCCUACCAAGGCGGCGACGGGUAGCCGGCCUGUGAGGGUGGACGGCCACAUUGGGACUGAGAUACGGCCCAGACUCCUACGGGAGGCAGCAGUGGGGAAUAUUGCACAAUGGGCGCAAGCCUGAUGCAGCGACGCCGCGUGGGGGAUGACGGCCUUCGGGUUGUAAACUCCUUUCGCUAGGGACGAAGCUUUUUGUGACGGUACCUAGAUAAGAAGCACCGGCUAACUACGUG
rnacentral:rRNA from 1 species